UUGGACAAUGGGCGCAAGCCUGAUCCAGCCAUGCCGCGUGAGUGAUGAAGGCCCUAGGGUUGUAAAGCACUUUCAACGGUGAAGAUAAUGACGGUAACCGUAGAAGAAGCCCCGGCUAACUUCGUGCCAGCAGCCGCGGUAAUACGAAGGGGGCUAGCGUUGUUCGGAAUCACUGGGCGUAAAGCGCACGUAGGCGGACUAUUAAGUCAGGGGUGAAAUCCCGGGGCUCAACCCCGGAACUGCCUUCAAAACUCCUGGUCUAGAGUUCGAGAGAGGUG
rnacentral:rRNA from 1 species